AUUGAACGCUGGCGGCGUGCCUAACACAUGCAAGUCGAGCGGUAACAGGUGUAGCAAUACAUGCUGACGAGCGGCGAACGGGUGAGUAAUGCUUUGGAAUCUUCCCAGUAGUGGGGAAUAACCAGUCGAAAGAUUGGCUAAUACCGCAUACGUCUGAAAAGGGAAAGCGGGGGCUCGUAAGACCUCGCGCUAUUGGAUGAGCCAAAGUCGGAUUAGCUAGUUGGUGGGGUAAUGGCCUACCAAGGCGACAAUCCGUAGCUGGUCUGAGAGGACGACCAGCCACACCGGAACUGAGACACGGUCCGGACUCCUACGGGAGGCAGCAGUGGGGAAUAUUGGACAAUGGGGGAAACCCUGAUCCAGCGACGCCGCGUGUGUGAAGAAGGCCUGCGGGUUGUAAAGCACUUUUAGUGGGGACAAAAAGCUACGGACUAAUACUCUGUGGUCUUGAUUUAACCCAAAGAAAAAGCACCGGCUAACUCUGUGCCAGCAGCCGCGGUAAUACAGAGGGUGCGAGCGUUAAUCGGAAUUACUGGGCGUAAAGCGCGCGUAGACGGUUUUGUAAGUCAGAUGUGAAAUCCCUGGGCUCAACCUGGGAACUGCAUUUGAAACUGCA
rnacentral:rRNA from 1 species